UGCGCAGGCGGUUUGUUAAGUCAGAUGUGAAAGCCCCGAGCUUAACUUGGGAACUGCAUUUGAUACUGGCAAACUAGAGUGUGGUAGAGGGAAGUGGAAUUCCUCAUGUAGCGGUGAAAUGCGUAGAUAUGAGGAGGAACACCAGUGGCGAAGGCGACUUCCUGGACCAACACUGACGCUCAGGUACGAAAGCGUGGGUAGCAAACA
rnacentral:rRNA from 1 species